rnacentral:tRNA from 1 species
UGAAAGCUAGUGUUCUUCACGAAUGAGUUUGGAUCAUUAAAUGGAGUCAACAGCUCCGCCUUCAA